GACGAACGCUGGCGGCGUGCUUAACACAUGCCAGUCGAACGGAAAGGCCCUGCUUUUGUGGGGUGCUCGAGUGGCGAACGGGUGAGUAACACGUGAGUAACCUGCCCUUGACUUUGGGAUAACUUCAGGAAACUGGGGCUAAUACCGGAUAGGAGCUCCUGCUGCAUGGUGGGGGUUGGAAAGUUUCGGCGGUUGGGGAUGGACUCGCGGCUUAUCAGCUUGUUGGUGGGGUAGUGGCUUACCAAGGCUUUGACGGGUAGCCGGCCUGAGAGGGUGACCGGCCACAUUGGGACUGAGAUACGGCCCAGAGUCCUACGGGAGGCAGCAGUGGGGAAUAUUGCACAAUGGGCGGAAGCCUGAUGCAGCAACGCCGCGUGCGGGAUGACGGCCUUCGGGUUGUAAACCGCUUUCGCCUGUGACGAAGCGUGAGUGACGGUAAUGGGUAAAGAAGCACCGGCUAACUACGUG
rnacentral:rRNA from 1 species